GAUGAACGCUGGCGGCGUGCCUAAUGCAUGCAAGUCGAGCGAACAGACGAGGAGCUUGCUCCUCUGACGUUAGCGGCGGACGGGUGAGUAACACGUGGAUAACCUACCUAUAAGACUGGGAUAACUUCGGGAAACCGGAGCUAAUACCGGAUAAUAUAUUGAACCGCAUGGUUCAAUAGUGAAAGACGGUUUUGCUGUCACUUAUAGAUGGAUCCGCGCCGCAUUAGCUAGUUGGUAAGGUAACGGCUUACCAAGGCAACGAUGCGUAGCCGACCUGAGAGGGUGAUCGGCCACACUGGAACUGAGACACGGUCCAGACUCCUACGGGAGGCAGCAGUAGGGAAUCUUCCGCAAUGGGCGAAAGCCUGACGGAGCAACGCCGCGUGAGUGAUGAAGGUCUUCGGAUCGUAAAACUCUGUUAUUAGGGAAGAACAAAUGCGUAAGUAACUAUGCACGUCUUGACGGUACCUAAUCAGAAAGCCACGGCUAACUACGUG
rnacentral:rRNA from 1 species